rnacentral:rRNA from 1 species
CCUACGGGAGGCAGCAGUGAGGAAUAUUGGACAAUGGGCGCGAGCCUGAACCAGCCAAGUCGCGUGAGGGAGGGCGGCCCUACGGGUUGUAAACGUCUUUGGCCGGGGAGCAAGGGGCGUCACGGGUGGCGCCACUGAGAGUACCCGGAGAAAAAGCGUCGGCAAACUCCGUGCCAGCAGCCGCGGUAAUACGGGGGAUGCGAGCUUUAGCCGGAUUUGUUGGGUUAAAGGGGUGCGUAGGCGGAUCGUGAAGGCGGUGGUAAAAUUGAGGGGCUCAACCCCUUCCCGCCAGUGAUACUGGCGUUCUUGAGUGGAAGAGAAGUAUGCGGAAUGCGUGGUGUAGCGGUGAAAUGCAUAGAUAUCACGCAGAACCCCGAUUGCGAAGGCAGCACGCCGGCUUCCGACUGACGCUGAAGCACGAAAGCGUGGGGAUCGAACAGGAUUAGAUACCCCAGUAGUC